rnacentral:lncRNA from 1 species
GGUAGUUCAUGUAGUCAUAUUUGUUGUUAUUUGUUAUUGCAAAAUACCUCUAUUGACAAUAAUAUUUUCGUACAUAUCAAUUACAAACAUUCAGGAUAAUAUAAUACAAAAUGCAAGCUCCAAACAUGGCUACAACUCAAUUAUCAAGAACAUACAUUUUUUGCAUUAAAAAAUUAAUAAUAAAAACAAUUCUUCACAUAGCCACCUAACAUCAGUCAUUCCAACUAAAAAAUGCAUUAACAACAGAUUAAAAAAAUACAGUUUUGCAUUAAAAAUAUAAUAACAUGCAUUUUUUUGCAUAAAUAAUCUAUCAACAUACAAUUUUUUCAACAAA